AGCUCGCUCCUAGGAGCGGCGGCCUAACAUGCUGCAGCUUUCACCAUUGUGGUUCCUGAUAGAACCCUGCAGCUCUACAGAGCCCUGCAUGGAUCCAAAGUUUGUAUUACCAAGAAAAUAAAGAUGGUUACACUUAGGAAAUCAAUCUAUCAAUCUUUUGGAGGAAAGGAAAAAAAAGGAGUACC